rnacentral:rRNA from 1 species
CCCUUAGAUGUUCUGGGCCGCACGCGCGCUACACUGAUGCAUUCAACGAGUCUAAAACCUGCUCUGAUAGGGGUGGGUAAUCUUUUGAAUGUGCAUCGUGAUUGGGAUAGAUGAUUGCAAUUUUUCAUCUUCAACGAGGAAUGCCUAGUAAACGCAAGUCAUCAGCUUGCAUUGAUUACGUCCCUGCCCUUUGUACACACCGCCCGUCGCUCCUACCGAUUGAAUGGUCCGAUGAAUAUCAUGGAUUGAGGAUUAUAGCAGGUUCGCCUGUCUUGAUCUUCGAGAAGUGAAGUAAAUCUUAUCAUUUAGAGGAAGGAGAAGUCGUAACA